CUAUUUUUUUAACGCUGUUAGCAUUGCUUUAGCGCAAACAUACAGGCCCGAAUAUUGAGCUGCACGGACAGAUUUUUAAAAAAAAAUAUUCUGAAUAAGUGAAUCUCUCAUAAUGGAUAUUUCUGGAGGUGAGUAAAUGAAAAACAUAUUUUAAGAUUUUUGUUUGAAUAUUAUUGUAAUAUUAACCCCUAGUUAUUUGGGUAUUUCAGGCCAAAAGGCCAAUAUAGGUAAAACAUGUGUAGAUAUAGCGUAUAACUGUUAAUAUUGUCUAAUGGUGUUUAGGAUCCCCGACAUUUAGAUCCCUGACAUUUACGCAGCUUUUACGCGAUUUACCGGAUCUGGAACAACAUCAGGGGGGUUCACAGGAGCAAAAGUCAGACAGGCAGUCGCCAUCUGCCUUUUUUCGUUCCGACAUACAGCCAGGAAUGAUAAAGGAUGCGUUAUGGACAUCUGACUCACCGGACUUUGAUGCAAUUCUACCGUUCUGUACGAGCGAUUUUUCAAACUCACCGCGAAUCCAGGGAACCUCGACACCCUCCCGAAAUAUUCCAGACCCCAACAGGCAAAGAGCAACAACUGUGGCCCAAGUACAUUGCUCUGAAUCAAGCCCACCCGAAAACUACUGUUGGGCAGGGAACUUGCUGCUUCACGAGCCUGCGCUCCAGGGACACGACUGCCCGGAGACAGGCCCAGCAGAAUCUGGAACGCUAGAGGGAAAAAGUCUAGAGCCCUCAUCAGGAGCAUCAAUUAGUCACAACAAGCGCCAAAAAAGCUGAGACUCCGCCCCGGCGAAAACCGGCACAAACGGCCACAUACAUCUAGAGCUGGGGAUUCCGGCGCCCCGAGCAUUCCCGAUGAAACACCCGAGAGACCUGUUUUUAAAUCAAAUCAAAUCAAAUCAAAUUUUAUUUGUCACAUACACAUGGUUAGCAGAUGUUAAAUGCGAGUGUAGCGAAAUGCUUGUGCUUCUAGUUCCGACAAUGCAGUGAUAACCAACAAGUAAUCUAACUAACAAUUCCAAAACUACUGUCUUAUACACAGUGUAAGGGGAUAAGGAACAUGUACAUAAGGAUAUAUGAAUGAGUGAUGGUACAGAGCAGCAUACAGUAGAUGGUAUUGAGUACAGUAUAUACAUAUGAGAUGAGUGUGUAGACCAGGGGUGUCAAACUCAUUUCGCAUCGUGGGCCACAUACGGCCUAGGGAGAUGUCAAGUGGGCCGGACCAUUAAAAUUAUACCAUACUCUGCUAUAAAUAACCAAAAUAUCAUGUCUUUCCUUUGUUUUGGUGUAAAGAAGCACAAGAACAUUAGGAAAAUAUUGAAAUUUAAUGAACUAUCCUUUUACAAAACAUUUCAUGAAACACCUCAUAUUUCCUUAGACAAAUGUGCAAUUUACUUUUAUCAUUCACAAAUAUGCAUUGCAACUGAUCCCACUGAUUGUACAAAGGCACAAAACUUUAAUUGGUACUGAAAAAUAUAGUAAUGCACUUUAAGAUUAAAUUAGACUUUUAAAGAAAGGAAUUUUUAAACCACUUACACAUACGCAUAUAAAAUCUAAAUGUAAUCCCUGCGUACACCUUACAAACUAAGGAGAGUGAUUUUAAAUGUGUAAUGAAGAAAGUGUUCGCCUGUCCUGUAAAUCUGUAAACUUCAUACAUGAAACAUACAUACACAUACAAUACAUACUGAAAAUGUAUGGAGUUGUAUGAACAGUAGAAUUCCAUCACACAACUUUUGUUUUGAAGCUGCUGACUAACAUUAAAGUGCACAUUUUUUAAAUCACCACAGUAAGGAUUCAUCUUCACAGAGCUGUAUUCUUUCAAUGCAAACAGUAUCUAAGGCAGCAUUUUAAAGGUGUUAGUCUAGUCUGGACUUGUAUUUGUACCUGAAACUUGGCAUCUUUUGGCCUGUACAAGUGCAUCAACACCAGGUGUCAUGUCCUGACUAGCUGUCACUUUCAGAAUGUCAUUUAAGUGCUUGUUUGUGAGCCUUGAACGCAUUUUUGUUUUAUUGAUAUUCAUCACUGAGAAAAUUUGUUCACAAAGGUAGGUUGUCCCAAACAUGCACAAAAUUUUACCAGCCAGGGCUGUUAAUUUGGGGUACCCUGGUAGUAGAUACUGAUAAAAUCAGGGCAGGGUUGCCAUUUGCCAGUUGCAUCUCCCACAAAGUCAGCUUCAACUUAAAUGCAUGUAUGUUGUCAGAAAACUGUGUGACAACUUUUUUGCGGCCUUGCAACAUUUUGUUCAGAUUGUUCAAGUGUUCAGUAAUAUCAACCAAGAAUGCAAGGUCCCGUAGCCAUUCCUGAGAUUGUAAUUCCAACACCGGUUUUCCUU